rnacentral:lncRNA from 1 species
UCUUGUUUUAGUUCAAGUGCCUCUAUUUCCAGAUCACUUAUCUUAGUAUUUAAGUUCUUUUCCCAGUUGUCUUCAGACUCUCUUAAUUGUGAUUUUAAUUGUAUUUUGAGUUCAUUCAUAGCCUGUAUCCAAUAUGCUGUUUUUUUUUCUUUUUGUUUGUUUGUUUGUUUGUUUUUGUUUGGUAUUCCCUCAUCCUUCUGUGUUCUGUUUGCUCUUUAUUCAUUGCCUGUAUGAAGCUGUCAAUUGUAAUUUCUUUUUUCUUUUUCUGUUGGUUGCUCAUAUUUACCCAUUCUUUACUCCCUGCAAUUGCCUGAGCUCUUGCUCCUCUCAUUUUUUUUUUUUUUUUUUUUUUGUAAAGUUUUGAUGUGUUUGCUUAUCUCUCCCUACUAUUGCCCCUGUACUCUGCUCCUUUCCCCCUAUCCAGGGUCAAGGGCUUUUUAUUUCUUUUGGUAUUUGUGUACUGUAGUUCCUUCAUGUUGGUAGCCUUUGCUAUGCUUGUUUUUUUCUUUGAAUUAUCUUAGAUUCUCAGCCAGAAGUCUGAGUGAGGCAUGAAGAUUGUUCUUGGUGUAGUGGGCUUUAAAGAGUUUUGCCCUGAGGCUAUUUCUCCAGUCCCCACUGUAUUUGCUGAGCCAGCCUGGGACUUCCCUGUCUCCAAGCCUGUGCUCCAUGCUCUAUGCCCUAUGCUCCAUGCCCCAUGCCCCAUUCCUCAGCCUCGGGUCCUGAGUCUAGCUGCCAAGGCUCUGUGGUGCUCUCAAGGGUAAGACUGAGGUGGUCUCAGUCAGCCCCCAAGAAUUUAGGGAUUGUCCCAGCCCUUGCUAUGACUCUGGCCUGGUAGGUGGUAUGGGGGAGUGAUUAGUUCUUGCUUUGUUAGGGGUAAUUUUACCCACUUAUAGUGUGGAAAUGCCCAAACUACGCCUACCUUCAAAGCUGUUCUCCUUGGCAAAGCCUCUUCCCUUGUCUGAUUUUGAUUUUUGUCCUUUUGAGACACUUUGCUGUGAUAGGUGUAGAAAGAGUUAUGUUGUUUCUUCUACUCUAUGGCCAUCUUAGCCUGGAAGUCCUAUUUUUUGGUACUUCAAUUGGGAUGUAGAAAAUAGUAGAUUAGAUAGGAUGAUAGGUACAAUGAUAAUUAUAUUAACUCUGCCUAUCCAUGAAUAAUUAAUAUUUCUCCAGUUACAUGGAUCUGACUUAUUUGUGUUAAAAUGUUCUAUAAUUAUGUUCAUAUAGUUCUUGGGUUUGUUUUGGUAAGAAUACUCCCAGGCAUUAUAUUCUAACUCUGGUUAUUUGAAAUUUAUCUCUUUCUGUAUCUUCUUGAAGGACUUUGUCAGUAAUAUAUAACACUGCUAAUAUAUGUGGAUUUAUAUUAU